rnacentral:rRNA from 1 species
AGCGAACGCUGGCGGCAGGCCUAACACAUGCAAGUCGAGCGGCCCUUCGGGGCAGCGGCGGACGGGUGAGUAACGCGUGGGAACGUGCCCUUUGGCACGGAACAACUGGGGGAAACUUCAGCUAAUACCGUAUGUGCCCUACGGGGGAAAGAUUUAUCGCCAUUGGAGCGGCCCGCGUUAGAUUAGCUAGUUGGUAGGGUAAUGGCCUACCAAGGCGACGAUCUAUAGCUGGUCUGAGAGGAUGAUCAGCCACACUGGGACUGAGACACGGCCCAGACUCCUACGGGAGGCAGCAGUGGGGAAUCUUGCGCAAUGGGCGAAAGCUUGACGCAGCCAUGCCGCGUGAAUGAUGAAGGUCUUAGGAUUGUAAAAUUCUUUCACCGGGGACGAUAAUGACGGUACCCGGAGAAGAAGCCCCGGCUAACUUCGUGCCAGCAGCCGCCGUAAUAC